rnacentral:rRNA from 1 species
UACGAAGGGGGGCUAGCGUUGCUCGGAAUUACUGGGCGUAAAGGGCGCGUAGGCGGACAUUUAAGUCAGGGGUGAAAUCCCGGGGGCUCAACCUCGGAACUGCCUUUGAUACUGGGUGUCUUGAGUGUGAGAGAGGUAUGUGGAACUCCGAGUGUAGAGGUGAAAUUCGUAGAUAUUCGGAAGAACACCAGUGGCGAAGGCGACAUACUGGCUCAUUACUGACGCUGAGGCGCGAAAGCGUGGGGAGCAAACAGG